GUUUCUGUCUUGCUUUUAACAUUAAGUAGCUCAUUGUGGAACCAACUUGAUUUCCCCUUUCUGACUCUGUGAGGUGAAGAAUCUCCUCAAACAUUACAGGACUGUUUCAUCUACAUUCAGUUUAGAGAGAGGCAGCAGAGUUGUUCAUCUGUCCUGUGUUGAGGAACAGGAUGCAGCAGGCAUUGUUCUGUGCCAGGACCAGGGCCCAGAUGAGUCAUGGUGCUCUUAAGGAGUUUUUGGACAAGAGAAGCUGGGCCAUGAGGAGAAACAGAGCUGGUAGGAUGGAUAGGGUUGCCAGAGACACAGAGGAGAAGGUGGGAGGACACCAAGCUGUGCUCUGUGGAAGAGUCCAGAGGUAUCUUGUUGCAUCUCCAGUUCAGAAGGACAUAUAGCCAGAACCUCCUUCACUCAGUGGGGGAAAGGGGAGAGAUUGUGGUUUGUUUCGUUUUUUUUUUUUUUUAUUUCACAGGUGGUUUUGCACUUUGCUGUAUUUCCUUGAAAAGCUGCAAAUUAUAGAUUAAAGCUUUAAUAGUGCAUUAGUAAAAAACUGGCUUUAAAUGUCCUUUAUCUUCCUGAAAUUGGGUAACUUUUGUCCUGUUCAAUGUCUGUUAAAGCCUAUGUCGUAAGUCUUUCAAGAGGUCAUAUCCAUUCUGUUGGCACUGCAUAAAAGGCUUUAAGUUGGGGCGUUUUUAAGGCAUAGAUAUAUACACUAAAAUGAUCUGCUUUUACUCAGUUUUCUCCCUUCCACUUCUACAGUGUGAACCCAGUGUGCUCCCAUUGUGACAAUGUCUGUGGGAAUAGUAGGGUGCAACUGCUCCCUGUGGACACAUUGGUCAGUGGUCAUGUUUGCUCGGCUGGAGGGAUACACCUUGGUUACCAGUUCAGAGAUGCCAAUAUGUAAAGACUUCAUACUGCAGUGAAGUAGGAGAGGAGAGUUGCACUCCUUCCUUCAUUUUGUUAGGAGGAAGUUGUCCUUGAAAAACAAUACCAUUCUUUGAUCAUGAAGCUCUCAGUUUCAUCAGGCAAAGAAUGGAGGAUUUUAUUCUGGGAUCAUACCUGAUGCAUUAUUGACUGUGUCCCCACAGUUAAAAUCAUGUGAAAGUAUCUUUGUUCAUUUCUCUUCUUAAGAUGUCACUCAGCAACUAUUGAAUGGGCAUUUAUACUCCACACAGACCCUUGCCAUAGUCUGCCUUCCACAAGCUCAGAGUGCAGUGGGGAAACAGAAAGGAAAAGCUGGAGAAUCAUAACAGGACAGUGUGGACAAGAAUACAGUGGCCAUGAAGAACAUAGUCAUAGGAGGAAUGUGAUCUUUGCAGGGAAGAAGCCUGUUGGAGAGGAAUAAAUUCUGAAGGAUUAUUCAAGGGUACUUGAGCCUCAUCAUAUGGACAGAAAGGAAGAGUUGAAUGUGGUGAGCAGAAAGAGUGAGGAUCGCAUUUACUCUUGAGAUUGUUUCCUCAUUGUAUCUGCAAGCAAGGCU
rnacentral:lncRNA from 1 species